rnacentral:lncRNA from 1 species
AACUGUCAGACUUAUUAAAUCUCAUAGGCGUUGAUUUUACUGUAAUCUUAAUCUUGAGUUAAUUAUGAUUUCAUGAUUGUAAUUGUUAUUCCAUUUGAGUUACCAAUGGGCACGACACAUUCUUGUGGUCAAGAUUACCCGGUAUCUUGGUGGGAGCAAUUAUGAGUAUUGGAGUUAUGGAUUAACAAUAUAGAAUUUGUACAACACAUCUCUUGAUGGGUUUUCGGCACUUGAUCAUAGAAUUCUCUGGCCAGAGCGUGUCAACAUAUUUAGUAUGUUGAAAAUGAUCAUUAGAGAAAACCAGUAAGGAUCAAGGAAUAAGAUGUUAUUAAAUUGAUUGGACAGUUGAGAUAUCAAUUUAAUUAACGAUGUGGUACAAAGGAUUGUGCAGUAAAGAAAUCAAUGUGGCUUGGGACGAAUUAUUAUUCGAGCAUACAAUUAUGGAAGUCAGUUCCAAUCUUUUAGUGGAGUAGAUUUGGAAUUAAAUAAUUGGGCUAGUUUAAUUACAGGCCUAAUUAUUGUAGCCACUUUUGUAUGUUCCCAAAUGAUCCCUGGGUUAGCUCAUUUAAUUGACUGCACCACUACUGGACUAAUAAGUAAGAUAACUAGCGAUUUGGGUCAAAAGCCUAAAUAUAUCAUUUAGUGGGAGGCUCCAUUUAAUUAGCUUUUGUAUAAGGGGCCUUAUGUUAUUUUACAAGGUGGGUCCCCUAUUAAAAAAGUAAAUAAACGUGAGUUUUAUUUAGGGCAUUAUUUGGAGCCUAGGGAUUUCACUAAAGGGAGAUAUAUAAGGCUUAUUUUUCCCUAAAGAAAAGAAGAGAAGCCACUUUUUAUACAGAUCAGAGAAAAAGAUUUUUCUCUCCAUUGUUGAGAGAAAAAUUUUCUCGUGCUAGUUGCUUUGGUAGUGAUAAAGGCGCCCACACGUCAAGUGCAGAUCGAACCUGAGUCAUAACCUGGAAGAUCAUUGGAGACAGUUUGUGAUCUAACAAGCGUGGUGGUGACGGAUCGUGAUCUAACAGGAGUGGUGGUGGCGGAUCGUGAUCUAAGAGCCUAAAUCACUUCAGCGGAAAAAGCCAACUCAGAUUUUCAAGGUACGAUUUCUGAAUUACGUAUUCCUAUAUAUUAUAUGAGAGCGGUCCUUAAAAGGUUUUAUAAAAAUUUUAAAAACCUGAUUUUUCCCCAACAAUUGGUAUCAGAGCAAUCUCAUAUUAAUAUAUAAGAAUAUUGUAUGAAAUCAUUCUUGAAAUUUAUGUAUUAGAGUGGCACAUUUUAUUCAGAUAUAUAUUAUUUGUUUAAUAUAUUAAUAAAGCAUGUUUAUGGUUUGUCUUAAUUCAUGGUUAGAUGUUCUACUGUAUUUUUCGUUUGGAUCUGUAACAAGAGGGGUGGUUUAUUAUCACCAUGUUUCCCUCUUAAUUUUUUUUCUGUUAUAGAAUUUUUGUAAGCCAAAAAUUGGCCUAGGAAAUUUGUAAAUCAACGGAAAAUAAUCAUGGAUGUCAGAUCAGAGGAAACGGAGGCCGGAAAUUUCAGAAGCAUGCUGCCAGCAGCCACGAGCAACAGCAGCGCGCGCGGCCCACGUGGGCAGCAGCGCGCGCGGCUCGCCUGGGCAGCAGCACGCGCUGCACGCCCAGCAGUUGCCGCAUGCGCGCGGCAAGCGCGCUGUGUGCGCAGUGGCUGGCAGCUGCAGCACGCUGCCAGCAGCGCGCGCUGCACAUGCAGCAGCAGCGUGCGCAGAAGUAGCGUGCGUUCCAGCAAGCAGCGCGCGCAGGGUUAGUUUGUUUCUGGCGUAUCGGCGACGGCAAACUCGACGUUGAUAGCGGCUGUCCGGUGAGAUUGGCCUGAACAGUGGCCGUUUCUGCUGGUGGCGACUGGGGAAGAAGAGGAAAAGAAAAAUGUGAUUUUAGGGUUCCAUGGUUUUUACCAUGGAGGUCCCUAUAGUUUCAUAUUUGUUUCUUGUGGGCAGAAAAUUUUAAUUUUUUGCAUUUAAGUCCAAACAUAGUUUUGGGCUUAAUUAAUCCUAGUUUUAGGCCCAAUUUCAAUUGGGCUUAAUGGAUUAAAAAUGCAUAGACAAAAUUAAAUACAUUAAAUUUAUUUUUGGUCCAAAAGUUUUAUUUUAAUAAUAAAAAAAAUAAAAUUAUCUAUUUAUUUAUUUCUUUUUAAAAUUAAAAAUUGGACCAAUUAUAAAUUAAAAAGCCCAAUUUCCCCUAGUCCAUUAACAAAAACAAGAUUAUGGAAGAUGGAUAUUGACAAGAAGCCCAAUGAAGAUUAGGCUUAGAGUUAAUGUAUUUUUCAUUAUUAGGAAAGCCAUGAAUUAAGAUUAUUUAAUUGUUUUUCUAUAUGUUAUGUUUUGGAUGAUAACAUGCCAUGAUAACAUGUCAUAUAGAAUAGGUAGUGCCACUCUAUGCAUAAUGUUACAUGUCAUUCAUUAAUAAUGAAUCUCAUUAUAUUGUUUGAAAUUUGUACAUGCUUAAUAAUAUUUGAUAUCAUCUAGAUAAUAUUAUAGGAAGCAUGCAAUUAACAAUAUGUAUGUUUUAAAAAGGAAAAACCAAUUUUAAAAUAUUGAGUGGGAGAGGGAAAAUUCAAGAUAAUUUUCCCACGGGUUCCAUUGUUAGUUCAAUAAUAAAAUUAUAUAUAUACCUCGACUUCAUGAUACGGUGAUGCUCCCUUCGGAGGGUAUAUAUAUUAGAUAUUUUAUUUGAUGAACUUCUUCAAAGAUAAAAUUGAAAUAUUUUUCAAUCGAUUGUUCACCCCAACGGUGACUAUUGAUAUGAAAAAUACGUAGAUUGAAACAGUGGUUAUACAUUCAACUGAAAUUUGUUAUUAACCUUCCCAACGAAGCUCUGUUAACAAAUUUAGGCCCAAAAAGAUAACGAUAAUUAUUUAUCAUGUCUCUACAUGAAAGUAAAUAAUCCAAUGGGUAAUUGGGUCUAGUAAGUAUAGACAUGACUUCCCCACCAGAUAGCUUGUCAAAGCGGAACUAGAUUAUCGUUACAAUAAAUUAAAAUGCAUUUAUGGUUUUAUGCAUUUUUGUCAUUUAUUGUGAAUAUUAUUUCAAAUUAUUUAUGCAUGGAUGUUUUAUUUUUCAGAAAAUGUCUUCCCUAAGCCCACUUACUAUUAUUCUAAGUCAAAACAAACUCACUGGAGAAAACUACAUAGAUUGGAAAAGAAAUCUAUUCAUUGUCCUGACUGCUGAAAAUUAUAAAUAUGUCUUAACCCAGCCAUGCCCCCCAGUUCCAGCGGAUGAUGCUCAUAGAAAUCAGAGGAGGCUUUAUGAGAAAUGGCAAAAGGCCAAUGAAAUGGGAAAGUGCUACAUUCUAGCCUCGAUUUCUAAUAUUCUGCAGACCAAACAUCAGAACUUGGAGACUGCCACUGAAAUAAUGGAUAGUCUCCAACAGAUGUUCGGGCAGAGUACUCGCUCUGCGAGACAAGCAGCGCUGAAAGGAAUUAUGAACAGUAAAAUGGGGAAGGGCACAAGAGUUCGUGAUCAUGUCCUCAAAAUGAUGGACUAUUUGAAUGAGGCUGAGAUUCAGGGAGCACAAAUCGAUGAUAACUCAAAGAUUGACAUGGUGCUAGAAUCUCUGCCAGAAACAUUCAAGGAGUUUAAGGUCAAUUAUAACAUGAACAAAAGAAACAUGACCUUAACUGAAUUGAUGAACGAACUCCAUUCUGCUGAAGAGAUCUAUCGUGCUGAGAAAUCUCUAGGAAGCAUAAAUAUUACUGAAAAAGGUUCAUCUUCUGGGCCUAAACCGAAAGGCAAAGGUAAGAAGAAAGCUGGGAAAAAGAGACCGUCUACCAAGCAAGAUGGCAAGCCGAAAGGCAAAUGCUUCAAGUGUGGACAGAAAGGUCACUGGAAAAAGGAUUGCCCUAAGAUUGUGAAAUCAGGUAUGGGAAAUUUUUUUGUAAUUGAGGCCUGUUUAGUUCAGAAUCCUAUUGACACUUGGGUGUUGGAUUCAGGAGCAACUAAUCAUAUUUGUAAUUCACUUUAUUGGUUUCAGGAAACCAGGAAAAUAAGUGAAGGAAGCGUCAAGCUGCAGUUAGGGACAGGACAGUUCGUGUCAGCAGUAAAGACUGGAUCUGUUUUAUUAUCUUUUAAUAAUGAGACUUUAGUUUUGAAUAAUUGUCUUUAUGUUCCAGACAUUAAGAGAAAUUUAAUUUCAGUAGCUUGUUUGUCAAAGCAAAGGUACACUGUAAAUUUUGGAUCCUCUGUUUCUAUUUUUCAUAAUAAGAGACUUAUUUGUUCUGGUACAUUGGAAGAUAAUUUAUAUCAUUUAAGUCCAAUGAUCCAUUCUAUGCAUGACACAGUGAUAAAUAAUGAUGAGCAUACACAUUUAUCUAAGAAAAGAAAUAUUUCUUCCAACCAAUGUUACCUCUGGCAUUUACGCUUGGGUCAUAUAAACCAAAAUAGGAUACAGAGAAUGAUCAAAGAUGGGCUCUUGGGUCCAUUAGAAAAUGAAUCAUUGUCACUCUGUGAAUCCUGUUUAGAAGGGAAAAUGACCAAAAGGCCAUUCUCGGCCAAAGGAGUACGUGCAACAGUACCACUUGAAUUGGUACAUACAGAUGUAUGUGGACCAAUCAAUGUACAAGCUCGAGGAGGUUAUGAGUAUUUCAUCACUUUUACUGAUGAUUACUCAAGAUACGGUUAUGUUUAUCUGAUGCGUCAUAAGUCUGAAGCUCUUGAGAAAUUCAAAGAGUAUAGGGCUGAGACAGAAAAGCAAUUAGAUAAGAACAUAAAGAAACUUCGAUCUGAUCGAGGUGGUGAAUUUCUCUCAGGAGAUUUCAAAGAGUAUCUGGUUGAAAAUGAGAUUAUAUCUCAAUUGACUGCCCCGGGAACACCACAACAAAAUGGGGUAGCUGAAAGAAGAAAUAGAACUCUUUUGGAUAUGAUGAGAUCUAUACUUAGUUAUUCGUCAUUACCAAUCUCUUUUUGGGGACUAGCACUGGAAACUGCAGUUUACCUUUUGAACUUAGUUCCAUCUAAGUCAGUGCCUAAAACCCCAAUAGAAUUAUGGUCAGGUCGCAAACCAAGUUUACGACAUGUCCGUAUUUGGGGAUCACCAGCACAUGUGCUGAAACCAAAGGCAGACAAAAUGGAUUCACGUUCUGAGGUUUGUAUGUUUGUGGGGUAUCCCAAAGGAACAAGGGGAGGUUUAUUUUAUAGUCCUCAAGAUAGGAAAGUGAUCGUGAGCACACAUUUCACUUCCCUUGAGGAAGACUAUAUGAAUAACUUCAAACCUAAGAGUAAGGUAAUACUUGAAGAACUGUCAGGUGAUCAGGUUGAUGCUCAGCUUUCAAUGCCUGUUACAGAAUAGGAAGAACAGCAACAACCAGAUGAUCAACACAAGAUUAACCCUAAACAACCAUCACUUUUAGAACCUCGUCGUAGUGGGAGGGUAACUAGGUUACCUGCGAGAUACAUGCUUUUGGGAGAAACCUAUACGGCUAUCUCAGAUGAACAUGUACAAGAUCCCACUAGUUACAACGAAGCUCUAAUAGAUAGAGAUGUUGAAUUUUGGAAAAAGGCCAUGAAUCAAGAAAUGGAAUCUAUGUAUUCCAAUAAAGUCUGGGAACUUGUAGAGGCACCAAAAGGGGUAAAACAUAUAGGAUGCAAGUGGAUCUACAAGAGAAAAAGAGGAGUAGACGGAAGGGUGGAAACAUUUAAAGCAAGAUUAGUAGCCAAAGGGUUUACUCAGAAAGAGGGAAUCGAUUAUGAGGAAACUUUUUCUCCGGUUGGUAUGCUUAAAUCCAUCAGGAUUCUGCUCUCCAUUGCUGCAGUGCUAGAUUAUGAAAUUUGGCAAAUGGAUGUCAAGACUGCCUUUCUCAAUGGGCAUCUUGAAGAAAACAUCUACAUGCACCAACCAGAUGGAUUUAUACAAAGAGGCCAAGAACACAUGGUAUGUAAGUUGCAGAGAUCCAUUUAUGGAUUGAAGCAAGCAUCCCGGUCAUGGAACAUCAGAUUUGAUCAAGCGAUAAAAUCGCUUGGAUUCAUUCAGAACAUUGAUGAACCAUGUGUGUAUAAGAAAAUUCAAGAAAAAUCUGUAGCCUUCCUAAUUCUUUAUGUAGACGAUAUUCUCCUAAUUGGAAAUGAUAUAGGAGUAUUGACUACAAUAAAGAGUUGGUUAGCAAAACAAUUUGAUAUGAAAGACCUGGGAGAGGCAAGUUAUAUUCUUGGUAUCAAAUUAUUACGAGACCGGAAGAAUAAAACUUUAGCCUUGUCUCAAGCGGUCUAUAUCGAUAAGAUAUUGGCUAGAUUUAGCAUGGAAAAUUCCAAGACUGGUUUAUUACCAUUCAGACAUGGAAUUACAUUCUCUAAGGAUCAAUCACCUAAAACAUCUAAAGAGAUAGAGAGAAUGAGACAAGUUCCCUAUGUAGAAGCUGUGGGAAGUCUUAUGUAUGCCAUGCUUUGCACUAGGCCAGACAUCUGUUUUGCGGUAGGGAUGAUUAGUAGAUAUCAAUCUAAUCCUGGACCUGAACACUGGACUGCGGUCAAGCAUAUAAUGAAGUAUCUGAAAAGAACUAAAAAUUAUAUGCUUGUGUAUUCUGGUGAUGAACUCAUUCCAGUGGGUUAUACUGAUUCUGACUUUAUGUCAGAUAAGGAUUCCAGAAAAUCAACUUCCGGCUAUGUGUUUACAUUGGGAAGUGGAGCUAUUAGUUGGAGGAGUGUGAAACAAUCUUGUAUCGCAGACUCCACAACUGAAGCUGAAUAUGUGGCUGCAUCCGAAGCUGCAAAAGAAGCUGUAUGGCUCCGCAAGUUCCUACAAGAUCUUGAGGUGGUACCUGCUGUAACUGCACCCCUGAAACUAUUUUGCGAUAAUAGUGGUGCGGUAGCUCAAUCUAAGGAACCAAGGAACCACAAGAAACAAAAACAUAUUGAGAGGAAGUAUCAUCUUAUAAGGGAUAUAGUGCAGAGAGGUGAUGUGGAGGUUACUCAGAUUGCGUCACAGCAAAACUUGGCAGAUCCUUUUACUAAGGCCAUACCUGGGAAACCUUUUAACUUGCACUUAGAUUCCAUGGGCAUGCGUGAGAUGCCAAAUAUGCUUUGAGAGCUAGUGGGAGAUUGUUGGGAAAAUAUGCUCUUUAAAAGCAUAUGUGUUUAUUUAACUGUAAUAAACAAUUUUUCUGAUUAAUAAAAUAAAUGAGGUAUUUUAUUCAAAUAUCUUAAUUGCAUUAAUAUUUGUAUUAAAGUCCAUUUAAUCAUAUUAUAUGUAUUUAUGUGAUCACCGUGUGGAUUCACAGAAGACAUAAAUACAAGUUAUCUUAUGAUUAAAUAAAUUUAGUUCGCAGUUGAUAAAUAAAGUUGGGCACUUUAUUUAGGUAUAGACUGUAAUAAAUUCAUUGAAUGAUCUGUCUUAAUCAUGUAUGAAUUUAUUAAUGUAGUACGACUACAUUGAACAGGAUCACAUAUGAGAUUUAAUUAACUUUGUAAUAACUGUCAGACUUAUUAAAUCUCAUAGGCGUUGAUUUUACUGUAAUCUUAAUCUUGAGUUAAUUAUGAUUUCAUGAUUGUAAUUGUUAUUCCAUUUGAGUUACCAAUGGGCACGACACAUUCUUGUGGUCAAGAUUACCCGGUAUCUUGGUGGGAGCAAUUAUGAGUAUUGGAGUUAUGGAUUAACAAUAUAGAAUUUGUACAACACAUCUCUUGAUGGGUUUUCGGCACUUGAUCAUAGAAUUCUCUGGCCAGAGCGUGUCAACAUAUUUAGUAUGUUGAAAAUGAUCAUUAGAGAAAACCAGUAAGGAUCAAGGAAUAAGAUGUUAUUAAAUUGAUUGGACAGUUGAGAUAUCAAUUUAAUUAACGAUGUGGUACAAAGGAUUGUGCAGUAAAGAAAUCAAUGUGGCUUGGGACGAAUUAUUAUUCGAGCAUACAAUUAUGGAAGUCAGUUCCAAUCUUUUAGUGGAGUAGAUUUGGAAUUAAAUAAUUGGGCUAGUUUAAUUACAGGCCUAAUUAUUGUAGCCACUUUUGUAUGUUCCCAAAUGAUCCCUGGGUUAGCUCAUUUAAUUGAUUGCACCACUACUGGACUAAUAAGUAAGAUAACUAGCGAUUUGGGUCAAAAGCCUAAAUAUAUCAUUUAGUGGGAGGCUCCAUUUAAUUAGCUUUUGUAUAAGGGGCCUUAUGUUAUUUUACAAGGUGGGUCCCCUAUUGAAAAAGUAAAUAAACGUGAGUUUUAUUUAGGGUAUUAUUUGGAGCCUAGGGUUUUCACUAAAGGGAGAUAUAUAAGGCUUAUUUUUCCCUAAAGAAAAGAAGAGAAGCCACUUUUUAUACAGAUCAGAGAAAAAGAUUUUUCUCUCCAUUGUUGAGAGAAAAAGAUUUUUCUCUCCAUUGUUGAGAGAAAAAUUUUCUCGUGCUAGUUGCUUUGGUAGUGAUAAAGGCGCCCACACGUCAAGUGCAGAUCGAACCUGAGUCAUAACCUGGAAGAUCAUUGGAGACAGUUCGUGAUCUAACAAGCGUGGUGGUGACGGAUCGUGAUCUAACAGGAGUGGUGGUGGCGGAUCGUGAUCUAGGAGCCUAAAUCACUUCAGCGGAAAAAGCCAACUCAGAUUUUCAAGGUACGAUUUCUGAAUUACGUAUUCCUAUAUAUUAUAUGAGAGCGGUCCUUAAAAGGUUUUAUAAAAAUUUUAAAAACCUGAUUUUUCCCCAACACUUUGACCUUCAGCUGGUGCUUCCAUUGUCCACGAACACUAUCAUACUUGAACAUGUACGUCUAUAUGUAGAAAAUACCCGUAUAUUCACAUUAGGUAUAUAAAAAUUAAUAUCACGAAAGACUAAUUCAUCAGGUCAGACAAUCAAUCAGACGAUAUAAAUUCCUUUAAUUUUAAUCCAUCAAAUUUUUAUAAUGUACAUGUGCAUGUAGGUUCACAUUUCAAAUGCAACAUAUAUACAAACGUGAAAUAAAAGAAAUUAAAAAAAAAAUCGUAUCAUUACAACCCCCCCUCCCCCCCUAAUCAGUUGUAGUGAAAAGAUCAUUAAAAGCGACAAGCGCAACAUCGUCUCUUUUCAAUGUAAUUAGGGAUGGCAAUGGACAAUUGCGAAUUUGUCAUCAUCAAAUCUGUACUUAU